rnacentral:rRNA from 1 species
CACGUAGGGCGCGAGCGUUGUCCGGAAUUAUUGGGCGUAAAGAGCUCGUAGGCGGCCUGUUGCGUCCGCUGUGAAAGCCCGGGGGCUUAACCCCGGGUCUGCAGUGGAUACGGGCAGGCUAGAGGUAGGCAGGGGAGAAUGGAAUUCCCGGUGUAGCGGUGAAAUGCGCAGAUAUCGGGAGGAACACCGGUGGCGAAGGCGGUUCUCUGGGCCUUACCUGACGCUGAGGAGCGAAAGCGUGGGGAGCGAACAGG